UUCUAACAAUUUAAAAAAAUGCUGUAUUUAAACUUUUUCCAAAUAUCAAUACUAAUUUUGGUAAUAUUAGUUUUUGUUUUUUUCUGUAGACAAAUAUUGAUAUUCAAUCACUGUUUAUGGGAGUUGAAAUGUUGUGCAAGAAAUACUCAAGAGAAAUUACCCAGAUUUCAGAAUUUCAAGAAAGACACAGAAGAAGGUUAUUAGCAUACUACAGAGGAAAGAUUGCAAAGUUGGAAGAAUCUCUAAAGAAGGCAAUGCAACAAAUACAUCCAACACAAUG